rnacentral:rRNA from 1 species
GACGAAGGAUGCAAGCGUUAUCCGGAUUCAUUGGGUUUAAAGGGUGCGUAGGCGGACUUGUAAGUCAGUGGUGAAAUCUCUUCGCUUAACGAAGAAACUGCCAUUGAUACUGCAGGUCUAGAGUAUAGAUGACGUUGGCGGAAUAUGACAUGUAGUGGUGAAAUACUUAGAUAUGUCAUAGAACACCGAUUGCGAAGGCAGCUAACGAAAACUAUAACUGACGCUGAGGCACGAAAAGUGCGGGGGAUCAAAACAGG